AAAAGUAAUUGCGGUCUUUGGU
rnacentral:miRNA from 1 species